GAUGAACGCUAGCGGCAGGCCUAAUACAUGCAAGUCGAACGAUAGAAGAGGGCUUGCUCUCUUCGAAAGUGGCGCACGGGUGCGUAACGCGUAUGCAACCUACCUUAAUCAGGGGGAUAGCCCGAAGAAAUUCGGAUUAACACCGCAUAAAACCACGGUACAGCAUUGUACAAUGAUCAAAUAUUUAUAGGAUUAAGAUGGGCAUGCGUGACAUUAGCUAGUUGGCGGGGUAACGGCCCACCAAGGCGACGAUGUCUAGGGGAUCUGAGAGGAUGACCCCCCACACUGGUACUGAGACACGGACCAGACUCCUACGGGAGGCAGCAGUAAGGAAUAUUGGUCAAUGGAGGCAACUCUGAACCAGCCAUGCCGCGUGCAGGAAGACGGCCCUCUGGGUUGUAAACUGCUUUUAUUCGGGAAUAAACCUCAUUAUGUAUAGUGAGCUGAGUGUACCGAAGGAAUAAGGAUCGGCUAACUACGUGCCAGCCGCCGCAGUAA
rnacentral:rRNA from 1 species